GAAGGCAUAGCUCAGUGGUAGAGCACGUGCUUAGCACGUACAAGGUCCUGGGUUCAAUCCCCAGCACCUCCA
rfam:Camelus ferus unplaced genomic scaffold scaffold667, whole genome shotgun sequence.